CCCUUAGAUGUUCUGGGCCGCACGCGCGCUACACUGAUGAAUGCAACGAGCUCUACCCUUGACCGAAAGGCCCGGGUAAACUUGUGAAACUUCAUCGUGAUGGGGAUAGAUUAUUGCAAUUAUUAAUCUUCAACGAGGAAUUCCUAGUAAGCGCGAGUCAUCAGCUCGCGUUGAUUACGUCCCUGCCCUUUGCACACACCGCCCGUCGCUCCUACCGAUUGAAUGGUCCGGUGAAAUCUUCGGAUUGCUGACCAAGAUCCAGCAAUGGAGCUUGGUUGCGAGAAGUUGAUUAAACCUUAUUAUUUAGAGGAAGGAGAAGUCGUAACA
rnacentral:rRNA from 1 species